rnacentral:rRNA from 1 species
AAGUCGAGCGGGAUCCAUCCAGUGGCAACACUGGGGAAGAUCUAGCGGCGAACGGGUGAGUAACACGUGAGGAACUUGCCCCGGAGUUCGGGAUAACCCGAGGAAACUCGAGCUAAUACCGAAUGCCCUCUUCUGAUCGCAUGGUCGGAUGAGGAAAGAUUUAUCGCUCCGGGAGAGUCUCGCGGCCUAUCAGCUAGUUGGUGGGGUAACGGCCCACCAAGGCAUCGACGGGUAGCUGGUCUGAGAGGACGAUCAGCCACACUGGGACUGAGACACGGCCCAGACUCCUACGGGAGGCAGCAGUGGGGAAUCUUGCGCAAUGGGCGAAAGCCUGACGCAGCAACGCCGCGUGCGGGAUGACGGCCUUCGGGUUGUAAACCGCUUUCAGCAGGGAAGAAAUUGACGGUACCUGCAGAAGAAGCCCCGGCCAACUACGUGCCAGCAGCCGCGGUAACACGUAGGGGGCGAGCGUUGUCCGGAUUUAUUGGGCGUAAAGAGCUCGUAGGCGGUUCACUAAGUCGGGUGUGAAACCUCCAGGCUCAACCUGGAGACGCCACCUGAUACUGGUGUGACUAGAGUCCGGUAGGGGAGUGUGGAACUC